rnacentral:rRNA from 1 species
CCAGUAGUCAUAUGCUUGUCUCAAAGAUUAAGCCAUGCAUGUCUAAGUACAGGCUUUGGUACAGCGAAACCGCGAAUGGCUCAUUAAAUCAGCUAUAAUUUAUUAGAUUGUUCUCUACUUGGAUAACUGUGGGAAUUCUAGAGCUAAUACAUGCACAAAAGCUCCGACCUUCGGGAAGGAGUGCAGUUAUUAGACCAAAACCAGCCGAGCUUCGGCUCAAACUGUUUGGUGACUCUGGAUAACGAUGAGCGGAUCGCAUGGCCUUGUGCCGGCGACAUAUCUUUCAAGUGUCUGACCUAUCAACUGACGAUGGUACGCGAUAUGCCUACCAUGGUGAUAACGGGUAACGGAGAAUAAGGGUUCGACUCCGGAGAGGGAGCCUGAGAAAUGGCUACCACAUCCAAGGAUGGCAGCAGGCGCGCAAAUUACCCACUCUCAGUACGAGGAGGUAGUGACGAAAAAUAACAAUGCGGGACUCUAUGAGGCCUCGCAAUUGGAAUGAGCGCACUUUAAAUCGUUCGACGAGGAUCUAUUGGAGGGCAAGUCUGGUGCCAGCAGCCGCGGUAAUUCCAGCUCCAAUAGCGUAUAUUAAAGUUGUUGCAGUUAAAAAGCUCGUAGUUGGAUCUGGGGUUCGGGUCGGCGGUUUGCCGCUCUGCGGCUACUGCCGUGCUCGACUCUUACUAGCCGGUGCGUCUCGCGGUGCUCUUCACUGAGUGCCACGAGAGCCUGGCAUGUUUACUUUGAAAAAAUUAGAGUGCUCAAAGCAGGCGCUUGCGCCUGAAUAGUGUUGCAUGGAAUAAUGGAAUAGGACCUCGGUUCUAUUUUGUUGGUUUUCGGAACUUGAGGUAAUGAUUAAGAGGGACGGUCGGGGGCAUUCGUAUUUCGGUGUUAGAGGUGAAAUUCUUGGAUCGCUGAAAGACGGACAAAUGCGAAAGCAUCUGCCAAGAACGUCUCCAUUAAUCAGAACGAAAAUCAGAGGUUCGAAGACGAUCAGACACCGUCUAGUUCUGACAUAACGAUGCACUAGCGAUCGCAUAUGCUAUCACGGACUCUGCGAGCAGCUUCGGGAAACAGGAGUGUUUGGGCUUCCGGGGGAAGUUAUGU